UAAUGCAGUGAUUGGUAGAAUAAUCCUAUAGGCGGUCCUUAAUGCCUGUUGCUGAUGCCGGAAAGUUCUGGAAUUGCCAUUUUAAACUUGAUUUAAACUGCUAUACCUGUACGUUUACCUCUGGAAAAUAAGACAUUCAGGAUGGAUACCAAUAUAAACAUCCCUAUUACCACCACUAAUGUAACCCCUGCAAUGCCUUGCUCAUGCAAUGAAAAGCACUAUUGUCUACCCCUUUCCUUGCAAGUUCCACUAUUCUGUGAAGGUUUUUUUCCCAAAUCCUGGAACAUGCCUGUGGCCAUUUACUUUUUUUCCACAAGAACAUUAUUGAGUACAGACACUGAUGUUGGACGAUAAGGCCAAGCUCAUUGUUGGCCUUUAAAGAGUGAUCGGAGGGUGCAUAAAAGGAGGAGAGCAUGUGUGUGGGUGUGCCAGAGACGUGCAUAUACUAGAAUUAAACUCCCAAAUAAAAGUUACUGUGAA